rnacentral:rRNA from 1 species
UACAGAGGGUGCUAGCGUUGUUCGGAAUCAUUGGGCGUAAAGGGCGUGUAGGCGGUUUGUUAAGUCAUGUGUGAAAUCCCUCGGCUUAACCGAGGAACUGCCUCCCAAACUGCUUGGCUUGAGACCAGGAGAGGUGAGUGGAAUUCCCAGUGUAGCGGUGAAAUGCGUAGAUAUUGGGAGGAACACCAGUGGCGAAGGCGGCUCACUGGACUGGUACUGACGCUGAUGCGCGAAAGCGUGGGGAGCAAACGGG